CUCUAUUGAAGAUUUAAGAGCCAGUUUUUAUAAGAAUCAGGCAGGUUUCUAUUAGAGGGUGAAUCAUGGCCCCUUCAGAUUUGUCCCCAAAAAUUUUAUGGGCAGCUUUACUCUGUUAUGGGAGCAAAUUCUGCAAGUUUCAUGAAAAUUGGAGGAAGUUGCCAAUUUACCAUAUUUG